GGAAAAGGCAGAAAUGUGCUGGCAGGCGGCAGAGUCACAACACACAGUGAAAAGAGAGUUGUUCAAACACUGUCUAAUGGACUUAAUCCCCACUUCCUGCCCUUUCAGGAUAACAACUUAUUUUCAAAAGCAGUGCAAACUAAUACACAACUCCUAGGAAGAGUUAGAAAAAGUUAAAACAUCCAUCAGACUGGAACUGGUGUCAAAUAAAAGUCUCUCAAGAGGCUAGAAAGAAAAGUCCCUCCAAGGGUGGGGGAUGGAUAUUACUUUGUCACUGGGUCUAGGCCACCUCCUGCUGCGUCAGAAAUGCCACGGCCAUGGAGCAAAGUCAUGACGUGUGUUGAUCAACUUCGUACCUGCAAGUUACAUGCCAGAAGUACAGCUGCGUGUCAAUGACUAGCUUGGAUCCCAUCUGCAGGGCUUGUGAACUGCAACAGCAUGUUCUUCUGUUAGCGAUCAUAGCUUUGUCAUUCGACUUUUUGGCAAAAUACUGCAUCUUCAGCCAGGAGAAGUUGGCGAAGUACAAAAGGGCUUUUGAAGCGGAGGUUCUGAGUUAUGCUGUCGUCUACCUGGGAGUGCUUAAGUUUCUUCCUCUGCAAGAUGAUGUGGCCAAGCCCAUUAGAUUUGGUGGAGACCUUGAAGAUUUUGUUGAAGGGGCAGAAGAGGACACUUUUUGAAGAUGGAGGAAGCUUUCUUAGGCUAUAGGAAGAGAAGGAGCCUUAGACAGAGAUGUCAGAGGAUGCACAAAAGACCUUUCUACUUGUCUACUAUGAGACACAGUUGAGAUGACAAAAAAAAGUAAAGGAAUAGGCAAAGAUUAAGAGUUCCUAAGGCUUUCCCUCAGUUUGAAAAUGGAAGCAGAGAUUAACCAUACCUUGUCAAAGCUGCGCUUCCAAGACACUGGAGUUCUGCUCAUAGGUGAGUGGCUAAUUUUCUGAAAACUUAAUACUGUGAGUAUCUUUCUAGGGUGAUACUGUUGAAGAUGGGUACUCGAACUGCUGGCAAGUUUUGAUGGCCUUGAAAGAUGUUGCUUCAGAAGCACUGAUUUAUGCAGGAAGUAAACCUAACAGAUCUCUCCCUUCAAAAAUGUGAGAGAGUGGCAAAUAUUUGCCGUAUCAUACCAUCAUAAUUUAUUUGUAGUAAUUGGUUGGUCAAAGCCCCCCUUAAAUAAAGAAAGUGCCCUGACUAGCAGCAGCAUUGGCACAUGUGGGAGGUAUUUAUUUCAUAG
ensembl:lncRNA